GAGGGGCGGGAAGACCCCAGAGACAUCCAGGCCGGUCAGCGAGGGGGUCUUUAAGAGAGACCCGGUUGGACAUUCGGGCCCGCCGGACCCUGUGCCCCUUCCUCGCCCACCUUGUCUCCUCUGCGUUGCAAGACAGAGAAGUGAGGAUAGAGACGUGGAGAGACGGGGAGAAAGAAGCACAGAGAGACACAGAGACAGACGUGGAGAGAGACAAAGCAAGACGCUAAUCGAGAGACACCGGGGUGAGACAAGGACCAGCUCGGUGCCCCUGGAGCCCCAGCCCCGCCUUCAUGCCCAACCGGUGUCCCACCUGGCCCGUCCUCCCAGGUGAGCCUCAGCCGGUGCUGCAGGCAGUUUGACUCGAGGCCUCCCAGUGACGCGUGAGGAACAUCUACGGAGGGAGGAUGGCCCAAGUCCUGCACGCACCAGCCCCCUUUCCAGGGACCCCCGGCCCAGCCUCCCCGCCGGCCUUCCCGGCCAAGGAGACCGACCCUCCCUACUCCGUGGAGACGCCCUAUGGCUACCGCCUGGACCUGGAUUUCCUCAAGUACGUGGACGACAUUGAGAAGGGCCACACGCUGCG